rnacentral:rRNA from 1 species
UCCUACGGGAGGCAGCAGUGGGGAAUAUUGCACAAUGGGCGAAAGCCUGAGGCAGCAAUGCCGCGUGUGGAAGAAGGCCUGCGGGUUGUAAAGCACUUUCAGUAGGGAGGAUUAUGACGUUACCUACAGAAGAAGCACCGGCUAACUCUGUGCCAGCAGCCGCGGUAAU